rnacentral:lncRNA from 1 species
AUGCAGUUUCUCCAGAGAACACAUCAACGCUACCAGGAGUCUCUGAAGGAGGCCCAGAACCAAACUCCACAACACCUGAACCUGUCCUCCAUCCAGCCCUCUGCAGCUGUGCGUCAGUACCUCCAGAGCUUCCAUGACAUUGUGAAUGAGGAGCCCAUCUACUGGCUGGUGUCUCUGCUGCCCAGAGCCCUGCUCAGACCUUACCUGGCAAAGAACCUGCCCCUGGGAGAGAGGACCAGACCAGGCCCCAGGCCCUGCCUCUACCCCUGGCUAAGCCUCUUCCCCUGCCCCUGCUACCAGUGGGGGGGAGAGGACAUGAAGUCAGACCAGAGGAACCAGAAAGACAAGUCAGGGACAUAUUACAGGCUUCUACUGGAGAAGUACCAGGAUGUGAUAGAUGUCAAUAAGGCUGUCAACAUCUUCAGAGUCCAGAUGAUCAACGAGAAGGCUCUCUUCACCUCCAGGUGCGGUUAGC